rnacentral:rRNA from 1 species
GNCAGAUGGGAGCUUGCUCCCUGAUGUUAGCGGCGGACGGGUGAGUAACACGUGGGUAACCUGCCUGUAAGACUGGGAUAACUCCGGGAAACCGGGGCUAAUACCGGAUGGUUGUUUGAACCGCAUGGUUCAGACAUAAAAGGUGGCUUCGGCUACCACUUACAGAUGGACCCGCGGCGCAUUAGCUAGUUGGUGAGGUAACGGCUCACCAAGGCRACGAUGCGUAGCCGACCUGAGAGGGUGAUCGGCCACACUGGGACUGAGACACGGCCCAGACUCCUACGGGAGGCAGCAGUAGGGAAUCUUCCGCAAUGGACGAAAGUCUGACGGAGCAACGCCGCGUGAGUGAUGAAGGUUUUCGGAUCGUAAAGCUCUGUUGUUAGGGAAGAACAAGUGCCGUUCAAAUAGGGCGGCACCUUGACGGUACCUAACCAGAAAGCCACGGCUAACUACGUGCCAGCAGCCGCGGUAAUACGUAGGUGGCAAGCGUUGUCCGGAAUUAUUGGGCGUAAAGGGCUCGCAGGCGGUUUCUUAAGUCUGAUGUGAAAGCCCCCGGCUCAACCGGGGAGGGUCAUUGGAAACUGGGGAACUUGAGUGCAGAAGAGGAGAGUGGAAUUCCACGUGUAGCGGUGAAAUGCGUAGAGAUGUGGAGGAACACCAGUGGCGAAGGCGACUCUCUGGUCUGUAACUGACGCUGAGGAGCGAAAGCGUGGGGAGCGAACAGGAUUAGAUACCCUGGUAGUCCACGCCGUAAACGAUGAGUGCUAAGUGUUAGGGGGUUUCCGCCCCUUAGUGCUGCAGCUAACGCAUUAAGCACUCCGCCUGGGGAGUACGGUCGCAAGACUGAAACUCAAAGGAAUUGACGGGGGCCCGCACAAGCGGUGGAGCAUGUGGUUUAAUUCGAAGCAACGCGAAGAACCUUACCAGGUCUUGACAUCCUCUGACAAUCCUAGAGAUAGGACGUCCCCUUCGGGGGCAGAGUGACAGGUGGUGCAUGGUUGUCGUCAGCUCGUGUCGUGAGAUGUUGGGUUAAGUCCCGCAACGAGCGCAACCCUUGAUCUUAGUUGCCAGCAUUCAGUUGGGCACUCUAAGGUGACUGCCGGUGACAAACCGGAGGAAGGUGGGGAUGACGUCAAUCAUCAUGCCCCUUAUGACCUGGGCUACC